UGCCAGACUCCUACGGGAGGCAGCAGUGAGGAAUAUUGGUCAAUGGGCGAGAGUCUGAACCAGCCAAGUCGCGUGAGGGAGUACUGCCCUAUGGGUUGUAAACCUCUUUUGUCGGGGAGCAAAAGCCGGACGUGUCCGGCUGUGAGAGUACCCGAAGAAAAAGCAUCGGCUAACUCCGUGCCAGCAGCCGCGGUAAUACGGAGGAUGCGAGCGUUAUCCGGAUUUAUUGGGUUUAAAGGGUGCGCAGGCGGGGGCACAAGUCAGCGGUAAAAUCGCGGGGCUCAACCCCGCUCCGCCGUUGAAACUGUGUCCCUUGAGUGCGCGAAGGGUAGGCGGAAUGCGUGGUGUAGCGGUGAAAUGCAUAGAUAUCACGCAGAACUCCGAUCGCGAAGGCAGCCUACCGGCGCGCAACUGACGCUCAUGCACGAAAGCGUGGGUAUCGAACAGGAUUAGAUACCCGGGUAAG
rnacentral:rRNA from 1 species